UGCCAGUGAAAGAAGAGUGUGGUGGCUUUCAGAUCAAAUCAUCUUUGCCAGCCAAAGCAGUGUCUUCUUCCCUGCUUCUAAGAGGCAUGAGCUUAAUCAACGAGUCUCGGAGUGGGGUGUAUCUACAGUCGUAGCUGUGAAGAGAGGAGAUGAAAUGUUCUCCUGUUCAAUGUACGCGGAAGAGACCAGAGCUGAGCUGCUAUCAUUGUAACAGUAAAACUACAGCGAGAUCUGAAUUCUUUGUUCAUGUUUCAUUGCCUGCUUUGAGGAAAACAGUGAUCAUGAGAUCAGACAUCAGCCUUAGGGCCCAUGGAUGGCAUGACACUUGCUGAGCAGUGCUGGCGAUGAGCUAAAGAUGUUUUGACAAGAUUCAGUGAGAGGUGAGUGGAAGCUGCUGUUAAACCAAAUGUUUGUUCACUCCUUCUUAUUUCUCUCACUGUCUCAUUUGUUCAUUUAUACCUGGUCUUGGUGGUUUUUGGUAGUGUAGCUCUGACUCUGACCUCCUCAGACCAGCAAAUGACAACGAAGCAAAGCCUCUGUGCCAACAUUCUGGUGGAAAGGUCAAUGUAGUGCUUCUGCAGUGGUGUCCUCUCUGCUUCUCCCCAGCAGAGCCCACUCCCAGAUCCUUUAGAGGAAGCUGCAAGAUAACCCCCAUGUGGGCUGUGGUGCCGUAAGUUCAGAGAGACGUUUCUCGCUCCUGUCCUCCACAAAUGACAUGUGCUCACUAGCCCACACCGCUACCAGCAAUUAGCUGGUGUAAGGUUUGCAGUCCAAGCUCAUGUAGCUGUGGGGCUCCGUGGGAAACGAAGGGCAUGUCUGGGCGGGGAGGCCAGGCAGACUGAGCUGGCUCUGCCAUUGCUAACGCCAGAAUGGAAGUGCCGGGAACUGCGGGGCUGAGAUGCUGACUUGGCUCAAGCUUAGGACUGUCUGCGUUCACCCCACUUAAUUAGCCUUCCUGAGAGAGCACAUCCACUGGCUUGGGUGCAGUUCUGCUCAGGUGUGCUGAUCUGCUCCUGAAAGCGAGCGUGGAUGAUCUUGCAACCCUGGUCUGUGUUGUGAGAACUUAGCUCGGCUCUGCAUUGCUUCAGGUCUCUUUCUCCCAUGCUUAGAAGAUGAAGCCAAAGGUAAGAGCAGUAACUCUGUGACUGAUUCCACAUCACCCAUUUAGAAACCUUGACUAGGUGGUCAAGUGAGCUGUUCUUCCCUCCUCCACCCCAGCUGCAUCCCAGAUACAGUCCUACUGACUGUGAUUACUGUAAUAAAAUUGCAACUAAACCCUGUCAGCUCUGAAGCAGGAAUGAUGAGGGUUGGUCUUUACAUCAGACAUGUAAUUACCUGUCUACAAAACCAUGAAAAUGUGCAAGGGAAAAAAGAGGGAAAAGCAAGAUCUCUGUCAAAUGAGAGAAAACCUAUCAUUUCCCCCUUUUUUUUCUGUUUUGUUUUUGUUUUCCUCCAUUCACAGUAAUACAUAGCUGGGCUUAAUCCACCGAGGAACCUGCUCAGAGGUCACACUAAGCUACCUUGUGGCUGCUGGCCCUCCAGCCUGCUCAGAACAUAGGGCUUCUUCUUUGAAAACCCUGAGAAACUCAAGUUUGCAAGAUUUUAGAAUCAGAAAAAUCCAUUUCCUGCAUAAGAUCUUUUUUAUGGUAAAUGAAUACUGAACUGCAAUCAGAAUGCCACUACUGUUUGUUAAAUGCAAGUUGCUUAAAUAGUUCAUUUUUCAGUACUAAUUAUACAGUACAUGGUUAGCUUCAAUGAUCACAUGUAAUUAAAGGGGAAUGGUUUCUGCAGCAUUGUCAUGACUUUGACAGUGCUGAUCGAGAAGAGGCCAAUAUUUCCUGGUAGCCUACAGAUUAUGUGCUAAUUAGGGGGUUUACA